UACGUAGGGUGCAAGCGUUGUCCGGAAUUAUUGGGCGUAAAGAGCUCGUAGGCGGUCUGUCGCGUCGGAUGUGAAAACCCAGGGCUCAACCCUGGGCCUGCAUUCGAUACGGGCAGACUAGAGUUCGGUAGGGGAGACUGGAAUUCCUGGUGUAGAGGUGAAAUGCGUAGAUAUCUGGAGGAAAAACGGUGGCGAAGGAGGAAUCCUGGACAGGAAUUGACGCUGAGGCGCGAAAGAAAGGGGAGAAAAAGGG
rnacentral:rRNA from 1 species